rnacentral:rRNA from 1 species
UACGGAGGGCGCAAGCGUUGCUCGGAAUUACUGGGCGUAAAGCGCGUGUAGGCGGUCGGCCAUGUCGGAUGUGAAAGCCCCCGGCUUAACCGGGGAAGUGCAUCCGAAACUAGCUGACUAGAGGUCGGUAGAGGGUAGGGGAAUUCCCGGUGUAGAGGUGAAAUUCGUAGAUAUCGGGAGGAACACCGGUGGCGAAGGCGCCUGCCUGGGCCGCACCUGACGCUGAGACGCGAAAGCGUGGGGAGCAAACAGG